rnacentral:rRNA from 1 species
CAGCCGCCGCGGUAAUACGUAGGUGGCAAGCGUUGUCCGGAAUUAUUGGGCGUAAAGCGCGCGCAGGCGGUUCCUUAAGUCUGAUGUGAAAUCUCGCGGCUCAACCGCGAGCGGCCAUUGGAAACUGGGGAACUUGAGUGCAGGAGAGGGGAGCGGAAUUCCACGUGUAGCGGUGAAAUGCGUAGAGAUGUGGAGGAACACCAGUGGCGAAGGCGGCUCUCUGGCCUGUAACUGACGCUGAGGCGCGAAAGCGUGGGGAGCGAACAGGAUUAGAUACCCUGGUAGUCCACGCCGUAAACGAUGAGUGCUAAGUGUUAGAGGGGAUCCACCCUUUAGUGCUGCAGCAAACGCAUUAAGCACUCCGCCUGGGGAGUACGGCCGCAAGGCUGAAACUUAAAGGAAUUGGCGGG